AGAAUUACCAUUUUCUUUAACAUAGGUUAUGCUUGUUUGCUGAUGGAAAUGAUCCAGAAGAGAAGGACAAGUUGACGAUUGAGAGGGUUAAUGUCAGCCACCGUCUCGAGCUCAGCUUCAACCAUGGCCCUCCCCACAGGGCUCCAUCCCAAGCCAGAGCGGGUCAGUUCCCUACACAGGGCCCAGCAACACGGUGCCCAAGAAAAAGUGUUUCCAGUGGGACGCAUGUCGCCUCCGUGGGUGCUAACUUCUCCCAGUGCCCGUCGCCCUGCUCGGCGACCCUCGUGCAGACGUCCCCGUGCAGCCCCGGUCAGCACCCCGUGGGGACAGCUCCGAUCAGCACCCGACGGCGGACAGCUC
rnacentral:lncRNA from 10 species